UUCCGGUUGAUCCUGCCGGACCUGACUGCUAUCGGAUUGAUACUAAGCCAUGCGAGUCAUUGUAGCAAUACAAGGCAGACGGCUCAGUAACGCGUAGUCUACCGAACCUAUGGACGGGAAUAACCUCGGGAAACUGAGAAUAAUGCCCGAUAGAACACUAUACCUGGAAUGGUUUGUGUUCCAAAUGAUUUAUCGCCGUAGGAUGGGACUGCGGCCUAUCAGUUUGUUGGUGAGGUAAUGGCCCACCAAGACUAUUACAGGUACGGGCUCUGAGAGGAGUAGCCCGGAGAUGGGUACUGAGACACGGACCCAGGCCCUAUGGGGCGCAGCAGGCGAGAAAACUUUGCAAUGUGCGAAAGCACGACAAGGUUAAUCCGAGUGAUUUGUGCUAAACGAAUCUUUUGUUAGUCCUAGAACCACUAACGAAUAAGGGGUGGGCAAGUUCUGGUGUCAGCCGCCGCGGUAAAACCAGCGCCUCAAGUGGUCAGGAUGAUUAUUGGGCCUAAAGCAUCCGUAGCCGGCUCUGUAAGUUUUCGGUUAAAUCUGUACGCUCAACGUACAGGCUGCCGGGAAUACUGCAGAGCUAGGGAGUGGGAGAGGUAGACGGUACUCGGUAGGAAGGGGUAAAAUCCUUUGAUCUAUUGAUGACCACCUGUGCCGAAGGCGGUCUACCAGAACACGUCCGACGGUGAGGGAUGAAAGCUGGGGGAGCAAACCGGAUUAAAUACCCGGGUAGUCCCAGCUGUAAACUAUGCAAA
rnacentral:rRNA from 1 species